CCUACGGGAGGCAGCAGUGGGGAAUAUUGGGCAAUGGAGGAAACUCUGACCCAGCAACGCCGCGUGAAGGAUGAAGGUUUUCGGAUUGUAAACUUCUGUUGCGAGGGAUGAAGAAUGACGGUACCUCGUAAGAACGCCCCGGCAAACUACGUGCCAGCAGCCGCGGUAAUACGUAGGGGGCGAGGGUUGUCCGGAAUGUCUGGGCGUAAAGGGAGUGUAGGCGGCAUAGUAAGUUAUGUGUGAAAGGCCGGGGCUCAACCGCGGAAGAGCAGAUAAAACUGGUAAUCUGGAGUGGAGGAGAGGUAAGUGGAAUGCGCGGUGUAGCGGUGAAAGGCGUAGAUAUCGGGAGGAACACCAGAGGCGAAGGCGACUUACUGGACUGUAACUGACGCUGAGGCUCGAAAGCGUGGGGAGCGAACAGGAUUAGAUACCCUUGUAGUC
rnacentral:rRNA from 1 species